GGGGUAAUAGUAAAAGAUUGAAAUCAAAUCUGCUGCCCUAAAGCUCUCCUAUAAGAGGCUCUUUUCCUGAUUUUCCAAGCAGAGAUUAGGACUCCAAAAAGAGAAACGGCUAAAAAAAAUUUUCUGAGAAAACUAUCUAGUUUUGAGCUUUAUUUUCCUUUAGCUAAAAGUUUGGAUGUGGCUUUUCUGGGGAUUUUUCGGGUUUUCUAAGCUGAAACAUGACUGGUUAUUGAGGUACUCCUUUAAAUCCUUGGAGUGUGAGUUGAAUAUGAAGAUGCAUGUGUUAAGGCUGAUGUAAUGAGUCAUCGAUUUUUUUAGUAAUUGGCUUCUAAGUUCCAAUUUGUAUAUCUUCUUUUCUGUUAGCCAUGGUUCUGCUUUGCAUAUCAAUAGAUGUAGGCUUAUUUUUGAGCAUGAAGUUGUCAUUGUAACAUCUGAGUUUCUAGGAUUUGAAUUCUGCUUGUGUUAAAAAUCUCGUAAAUAAAAAUGUUGAAUGUUUGAACCAAGUGGAUGUACAUUGUGAUUGGGGAGUUUGCCUAUGUAAUUUUGGUUCUGGAAUUAUGUUGGAGACAUUAGAACCUUUGUCAAGGGUCA